UUUAUUAGAAAUAACUAUUAUUAAUAUUAUAUUAUUAUUUUUAUUUAUAUUUUUACUGAAAAGGAACAUUUAAAUUUUUAAAUAGAAUUAUAAUAUUUCCUUUUGUAUCAGGAAUUAUUAAUUUUUAUAAAAAUUUUAUUUCCCGAAAUAUUAUGAUCUAAUUAUAUUUAUAUUAUUAAUGUAACAAAAUUAUUAAUAAAUUAUAUUUAGAAGCUAAACACCAUACGAAUAAUAUUAUAUCUGGUUUCUUAAAAUUAAAUUAUUUUAAAAAAAUAAAUUUAUAUAUAAAUAUAAAUUUUAAUUAUACAUAUUAUAAAAAUUACUUAAGAUUAAAAGUUUCUUUAUAGUAUAACUACUACAUUAUAAAAUAAGUUUAAUUAUUAUAUUAAGAAAUUAUUUAUUAAAUUUUAUAAUAAUAAUAUAAGUAAAUUAAUAUUAAAUAUACUUUAUUAAAAUACUAUUAUAUAUUUAAAUUAUUUAUUAUUAACUAAAAUUAUUAAACGACUGUUUAUCAAAAACAUUUUUUAUUUUAUUAUAAUAAAUAAAGCCUGCUCAAUGAAUUUUUAAAUAGCCGCAGAUAUUCUGUGCUAAGGUAGCAUAAUCAUUUGCUUUCUAAUUAAAAGCUAGAAUGAAAGACUCAACGUUUUAAUUUCUUUAUUAUAAAUAAAUAUAUUAAAAUUAUACUUAAUAUAAAAAUAUAUUAAUAUAUAAAAUAGACGACAAGACCCUAUUGAAUUUUACUUAUAGUUUAGCUGGGGCAGCUUAUUAAUUAUAAUUUUAUUUAAAUUUAAUUUCAAAAAUAAUCCAGUAAAACUGAUUAAUUUAUCAAAUUACCAUAGGGAUAACAGCGUAAUAUUAAUUUAAAGUUCAUAUUAAAAUUAAUGCUUGCGACCUCGAUGUUGAAUUAUAUUUUCUUUAUUAAUGCAAUAGUUAUAAAAGUAGGUCUGUUCGACCUUUAAUAAUUUACAUGAUUUGAGUUCAAACCGGUAUAAGCCAGGUUGGUUUCUAUCUUUUUUAAUAUUUUUCUAGUACGAAAGGACCAAAAAAAAUAUUAUUAAUAU
rnacentral:rRNA from 1 species